rnacentral:rRNA from 2 species
UACGAAGGGUGCAAGCGUUACUCGGAAUUACUGGGCGUAAAGCGUGCGUAGGCGGUUCGUUAAGUCUGUCGUGAAAGCCCUGGGCUCAACCUGGGAAUUGCGAUGGAUACUGGCGAGCUAGAGUACGGUAGAGGAUGGUGGAAUUCCCGGUGUAGCGGUGAAAUGCGUAGAGAUCGGGAGGAACACCCGUGGCGAAGGCGGCCAUCUGGACCAGUACUGACGCUGAGGCACGAAAGCGUGGGGAGCAAACAGG